UUGCUUCGUUUUCCUAUAGAGCCACCAGAGGAGCGGGUGUAUGAUCCACAAGGUCAAGGCGUAAAGCUCGAGUCCGAAGAGGAAGUUGUUGGAGAGAAAGGCGACAAGUCUUGGUUGAGAGUCUCUUUGGCAUCUCAAAAAUUACGGGAGAGCAUCUCAGCUAGUCUGAUGAAAGGGCUUUAUUAUUGUGUGAUAUACAUAAGAUCAGGGGACUACCAUCAGAUAUACUCUCUGGCUGACUGGAAUGCAUUGGUUCGUCGACACUUUGCAGGUCGUACUUGAAGAGAUUUGGAAACAAGGUUUUAUGGCACUUGCUGCUGUUGGUGCUACCAACAUUGGGUCCAUUGAGCUUUCCAUCGAACCUGAACUAAGAACACACGAGCCAAAGAAGAAGCUGUUUCAUGCCGCCUCUUUGAUAGUGUGGAAGAAAACAUUGGUUCGUUUAUGUAUUUACAAACGUUAAUGGUUACACCUCCUCUAUAUCCUAAUAAGUCAUUUAGUUUUUUUCCUGCAAUUGCUUAGGUUCCAAAUUUAGGUUCUAAUACUAUCUAAAGUAAGGUAUGCUUUUCAAGAAAUAUAUGAGUUUCCCUUUGUCAAUUACACAACUUUCGUUGGUCU